rnacentral:rRNA from 1 species
GACGAACGCUGGCGGCGUGCUUAACACAUGCAAGUCGAACGGGCCCGCUCUCUUUUUUGGGGGUGGGUUGAGUGGCGAACGGGUGAGUAUCACGUGAGUAACCUGCCCCCUGCUCCUGGAUAACUUCUUGAAAGGGCGGCUAAUACGGGGUGUGCCGGCUGGUCCGCAUGGGCCUGGUCGGGAUCGUUUUAUCUUCGGGUGUUUCGGUGGGGGAUGGGCUCGCGGCCUAUCAGCUUGUUGGUGGGGUGAUGGCCCACCAAGGCGGUGACAGGUAGCCGGCCUGGGGGGGGGGGCGGCCACACUGGGACUGAGACACGGGCCAGACUCCGGCGGGAGGCAGCAGUGGGGGGUAGUGCACAAUGGGCGGAAGACUGAUGCAGCGACGUCGCGUGAGGGAUGGAGGCCUUCGGGUUGAGAACCUCUUUCUCCGGUGGUGAAGGCCCUGUCCGUUGCGGCGGGGUUGACGGUAGCCGGGUAUGAAGCGCCGGCUAACUACGUG